UACUGAGAAUUUGAUCUUGGUUCAGAUUGAAUGCUGACGGCGUGGAUGAGGCAUGCGAGUCGAACGAAAUAGUUUACUAUUUAGUGGCGGAAGGGUUAGUAAUACUUGAGUAACGUACCUUUAACCUGGGGAUAACGAUUGGAAACGAUCGCUAAUACCGAAUGAGGUAGUGGCAGAUAACUGCCGGCUAUCAAAGUGGGGGACCGAAAGGCCUUGCGGUUGAAGAACGGCUCAAGGGAUAUCAGCUAGUUGGUGAGGUAAAGGCUCACCAAGGCUAAGACGUCUAGGCGGACUGAGAGGUUGACCGCCAACACUGGGACUGAGAUACUGCCCAGACUCCUACGGGAGGCUGCAGUCGAGAAUCAUUCACAAUGGGGGAAACCCUGAUGAUGCGACGCCGUGUGAGCGAUGAAGGCCUUCGGGUUGUAAAGCUCUUUCGUGAGGGAACAAGAAAAAGGGACGAAUAAUCCUUUGAUUUGAGGGUACCUUAUAAAGAAGCACCGGCUAACUCCGUGCCAGCAGCUGCGGUAAUACGGAGGGUGCAAGCAUUAAUCGGAAUUAUUGGGCGUAAAGGGCGCGUAGGCGGACAGGUAAGUCAGAUGUGAAAUUUCGGAGCUCAACUUCGAAGCUGCAUUUGAAACUACCAGUCUGGAGGAUAGGCGGAGAAAACGGAAUUCCACGUGUAGCGGUGAAAUGCGUAGAGAUGUGGAAGAACACCUGUGGCGAAAGCGGUUUUCUAGCUUAGACCUGACGCUGAGGCGCGAAAGCAAGGGG
rnacentral:rRNA from 1 species